UACGAGGGGGGCGAGCGUUGUUCGGAAUUAUUGGGCGUAAAGGGUGCGCAGGCGGUUUGGUAAGUCUCGUGUGAAAUCUACAGGCUCAACUUGUAGUCUGCACGAGAAACUGCCGGGCUUGAGUAUGGGAGAGGUGAGUGGAAUUCCUGGUGUAGCGGUGAAAUGCGUAGAUAUCAGGAGGAACACCUGUGGCGAAAGCGGCUCACUGGACCAUAACUGACGCUGAUGCACGAAAGCUAGGGGAGCAAACAGG
rnacentral:rRNA from 1 species